CCUACGGGUGGCAGCAGUGAGGAAUAUUGGUCAAUGGUCGGGAGACUGAACCAGCCAAGCCGCGUGAGGGAUGAAGGUACAGAGUAUCGUAAACCUCUUUUGUCAGGGAACAAAGGCGGGGACGUGUCCCCGGAUGAGUGUACCUGAAGAAAACGCAUCGGCUAACUCCGUGCCAGCAGCCGCGGUAAUACUGGGGAUGCGAGCGUUAUCCGGAUUUAUUGGGUUUAAAGGGUGCGCAGUGGGCCUGUUACGUCAGCGGGAAAAGCCCGGGGCUCAACCCCGGCGAGCCGUUGAAACUGGCAGUCUCGAGUUGGAGAGAAGUAUGCGGAAUGCGCGGUGUAGCGGUGAAAUGCGUAGAUAUCGCGCAGAACUCCGAUUGCGAAGGCAGCAUGCCGGCUCCACACUGACGCUGAGGCACGAAAGCGUGGGUAUCGAACAGGAUUAGAUACCCGGGUAGUC
rnacentral:rRNA from 1 species